CGCCUAACACAUGCAAGUCGAACGAAGUAGCAAUACUUAGUGGCAGACGGGUGAGUAACAUGUAGGUAUCUGCCCUUUGGCCUGGAAUAACACGAGGAAACUUGUGCUAAUACCGGAUAAGUCUUUACGGAGAAAGCUUUAUGCACCAUUGGAUGAGCCUGCACUUGAUUAGUUAGUUGGUAAGGUAAUGGCUUACCAAGACUUUGAUCAAUAGCUGAUUUGAGAGGAUGAUCAGCCACAUUGGGACUGAGACACGGCCCAAACUCCUACGGGAGGCAGCAGUGGGGAAUCUUGCACAAUGGAGGAAACUCUGAUGCAGCGAUGCCGCGUGAGUGAAGAAGGCCCUUGGGUUGUAAAGCUCUUUCGUCGGGGAAGAAAAUGACUGUACCCGAAUAAGAAGGUCCGGCUAACUUCGUGCCAGCAGCCGCGGUAAUACGAAGGGACCUAGCGUAGUUCGGAAUUACUGGGCUUAAAGAGUUCGUAGGUGGUUGAAAAAGUUGGUGGUGAAAUCCCAGAGCUUAACUCUGGAACUGCCAUCAAAACUUUUCAGCUAGAGUUUGAUAGAGGAAAGCAGAAUUUCUAGUGUAGAGGUGAAAUUCGUAGAUAUUAGAAAGAAUACCAAUUGCGAAGGCAGCUUUCUGGAUCAUUACUGACACUGAGGAACGAAAGCAUGGGUAGCGAAGAGGAUUAGAUACCCUCGUAGUCCAUGCCGUAAACGAUGUGUGUUAGACGUUGGAAAUUUAUUUUCAGUGUCGCAGCGAAAGCGAUAAACACACC
rnacentral:rRNA from 1 species